ACUCUUCUCUCUCCUGCUGCCAUGUGAGGAAGGUGCCUGCUUCUCCUCUGCCUUCUGCCGUGAUUGCCUCGGUUCUUAGACUGAGCCACAACACCAGCACCCCAAGGUCUCCAGGUUACAGACAGCCUGCCCUGGGACUUCUCAGCCUUCAAAAUCGUAAGAGGAAUCUGAGGACUAGCAGAGUCUGGACAUGAGCCCCACAUUUAUCUUACUACAAAGCAAAUGCCUAAGAUCACAGCUUUAAGAGUAGCUACUGCUUGUCAUUCUGCCCUGGGCCAGUGACCUCAUAAUGGAAGCUUGGCUGUUCUUCCAGAAGCUGGGGUGCUGGAGACUGAGAGAGGAAAAGAACUGCCUUUGCAAUCUUUGACGGCGGAGACACUAAGUCAGAAUUUUGUGAUUUCGUAUAGUAUUUUGACAAAUGUGUAAAAUGCCCAGAAUGUGUAAGCUGCUAAACGAACAUCCUGGCCCUGGAUAUGGAGGUGAGAAAGAUGUUUUCUCCCCUUCUCCAGCACCAGCAUUCAUUCUGACAUGACUGUUUCUUCUGUUCUUCUUCCUUCUCCUUCCUCUCCUUCUCCUGCUCCUCCUUCUUAUUCUUUUCUCCCUUCUUUUAAAUCCACUUCAAUGUCUGUUCUACCAUUUACCUUUUUCAGGCAGCAUGCUUAAUAAGAAUGCAAAAUGUUUUGGAAUGUCACUACUUAAAAAUGUAGCUCCACAGGCUGGUGGUGUUGGCCUCCCCUGGUAACUUAUCAGAAACAUGGAAUCUUAGACCCCACCCCAGUUCUCCGAAUCAGAACCUGCAUUUUAACAAGAUCUCUAGGUAAUUUGUGUGCACAUUGAAGUCGGAAAAGCGAUGGGCUAGAAGGAAUAUGAACUUUGGCAUCUGAAAGAAAUAAACUUGAAUCCCAGCUUCUCCAUUUAUUAUCUGUGUUGCCUUGGAAAAAUUGCAUAACAUUUCUGACAUUGUUUUCUAAUCUAUAAAUUGAACUUCAUAAUAUCUUGUAAAUUGUUUUAAGAAUUGGUGAUAAUAAAGUUAACUACAUUUAAUCCUC